GGACUGGCUUCAGUAGAAGCAUUGCCAUUUUCCCAAGCACGCGAUUCUUCACUGGGUGUCUCUGAUCCUGACCUCAAUCUUGACUCUGUUCUUCGUGUCUCUGUACCUGGGGGGUGUUUAUACCUGCAGCAAGUCCACUGCUCACUCAGAGAAAGAGCUGGGUAACCCUCAAAGCUGUUUGUAAAUACUUCAGUGGAGAAAUACAAAGAGAAGAUGUGAAUGCCGGGAGAAGACUAUAACAUUAAAGCAGAAAUUGAUUUAAAAAUCCAACUUAGCAGAGGCAAUUACAAAUUCAAAGACGGAGCCCAAAUCAGAUCGGGCAGAGAAAAUGUGUUUGCUGCAAGGAAGGAAGUGAGCUUAUAUAACACCAAUUUCAAGUUGAUUUUGGACACAAACUUACCAAAUUUGACAACUGUCCUUGCAAAGCAAGAACAUUUUCACUUUGAGUGGGAACAAUGAAUGCUUUGUGUGUUUAAAACGUCCUUUCUUUAGUAUGAUAGCCUUUUAAGCAUUGAAUAUUGCGUUACUAUCUUUGAAUUUUUAAAUGGUGUCUACUUGCUAUGUAUUUUCUGUGAAUAUUCUAUUCUUUUAAUGCUGCUGGAGCUCAAAUGUCCGUAUCAGGGGGAAAAUCAUUUGGUUUGUAAUAAAAUGAAGUUAUGCGUUUAUUACAUAUUUAC
rnacentral:lncRNA from 1 species